AACGUAGGACACAAGCGUUAUCCGGAGUUACUGGGCGUAAAGGGCGUGUAGGCGGACCUAUAAGUCUAUUCUGAAAGCUCCUGGCUAAACUGGGAGAGGCGAAUGGAGACUGUAGAUCUAGAGUGAGGAAGAGGAAAGUGGAAUUCCGCGUGUAGUGGUGAAAUGCGUAGAGAUGCGGAGGAACACCAGUGGCGAAAGCGACUUUCUGGCCUGUUCUUGACGCUGAGGCGCGAAAGCUAGGGUAGCAAACGGG
rnacentral:rRNA from 1 species